GGGUUGUGAGGUUAAGCGACUAAGCGUACACGGUGGAUGCCCUGGCAGUCAGAGGCGAUGAAGGACGUGCUAAUCUGCGAUAAGCGUCGGUAAGGUGAUAUGAACCGUUAUAACCGGCGAUUUCCGAAUGGGGAAACCCAGUGUGUUUCGACACACUAUCAUUAACUGAAUCCAUAGGUUAAUGAGGCGAACCGGGGGAACUGAAACAUCUAAGUACCCCGAGGAAAAGAAAUCAACCGAGAUUCCCCCAGUAGCGGCGAGCGAACGGGGAGCAGCCCAGAGCCUGAAUCAGURUGUGUGUUAGUGGAAGCGUCUGGAAAGGCGCGCGAUACAGGGUGACAGCCCCGUACACAAAAAUGCACAURYUGUGAGCUCGAUGAGUAGGGCGGGACACGUGGUAUCCUGUCUGAAUAUGGGGGGACCAUCCUCCAAGGCUAAAUACUCCUGACUGACCGAUAGUGAACCAGUACCGUGAGGGAAAGGCGAAAAGAACCCCGGCGAGGGGAGUGAAAAAGAACCUGAAACCGUGUACGUACAAGCAGUGGGAGCACGCUUAGGCGUGUGACUGCGUACCUUUUGUAUAAUGGGUCAGCGACUUAUAUUCUGUAGCAAGGUUAACCGAAUAGGGGAGCCGAAGGGAAACCGAGUCUUAACUGGGCGUUAAGUUGCAGGGUAUAGACCCGAAACCCGGUGAUCUAGCCAUGGGCAGGUUGAAGGUUGGGUAACACUAACUGGAGGACCGAACCGACUAAUGUUGAAAAAUUAGCGGAUGACUUGUGGCUGGGGGUGAAAGGCCAAUCAAACCGGGAGAUAGCUGGUUCUCCCCGAAAGCUAUUUAGGUAGCGCCUCGUGAAUUCAUCUCCGGGGGUAGAGCACUGUUUCGGCAAGGGGGUCAUCCCGACUUACCAACCCGAUGCAAACUGCGAAUACCGGAGAAUGUUAUCACGGGAGACACACGGCGGGUGCUAACGUCCGUCGUGAAGAGGGAAACAACCCAGACCGCCAGCUAAGGUCCCAAAGUCAUGGUUAAGUGGGAAACGAUGUGGGAAGGCCCAGACAGCCAGGAUGUUGGCUUAGAAGCAGCCAUCAUUUAAAGAAAGCGUAAUAGCUCACUGGUCGAGUCGGCCUGCGCGGAAGAUGUAACGGGGCUAAACCAUGCACCGAAGCUGCGGCAGCGACACUAUGUGUUGUUGGGUAGGGGAGCGUUCUGUAAGCCUGUGAAGGUGUGCUGUGAGGCAUGCUGGAGGUAUCAGAAGUGCGAAUGCUGACAUAAGUAACGAUAAAGCGGGUGAAAAGCCCGCUCGCCGGAAGACCAAGGGUUCCUGUCCAACGUUAAUCGGGGCAGGGUGAGUCGACCCCUAAGGCGAGGCCGAAAGGCGUAGUCGAUGGGAAACAGGUUAAUAUUCCUGUACUUGGUGUUACUGCGAAGGGGGGACGGAGAAGGCUAUGUUGGCCGGGCGACGGUUGUCCCGGUUUAAGCGUGUAGGCUGGUUUUCCAGGCAAAUCCGGAAAAUCAAGGCUGAGGCGUGAUGACGAGGCACUACGGUGCUGAAGCAACAAAUGCCCUGCUUCCAGGAAAAGCCUCUAAGCAUCAGGUAACAUCAAAUCGUACCCCAAACCGACACAGGUGGUCAGGUAGAGAAUACCAAGGCGCUUGAGAGAACUCGGGUGAAGGAACUAGGCAAAAUGGUGCCGUAACUUCGGGAGAAGGCACGCUGAUAUGUAGGUGAAGUCCCUCGCGGAUGGAGCUGAAAUCAGUCGAAGAUACCAGCUGGCUGCAACUGUUUAUUAAAAACACAGCACUGUGCAAACACGAAAGUGGACGUAUACGGUGUGACGCCUGCCCGGUGCCGGAAGGUUAAUUGAUGGGGUUAGCCGCAAGGCGAAGCUCUUGAUCGAAGCCCCGGUAAACGGCGGCCGUAACUAUAACGGUCCUAAGGUAGCGAAAUUCCUUGUCGGGUAAGUUCCGACCUGCACGAAUGGCGUAAUGAUGGCCAGGCUGUCUCCACCCGAGACUCAGUGAAAUUGAACUCGCUGUGAAGAUGCAGUGUACCCGCGGCAAGACGGAAAGACCCCGUGAACCUUUACUAUAGCUUGACACUGAACAUUGAGCCUUGAUGUGUAGGAUAGGUGGGAGGCUUWGAAGUGUGGACGCCAGUCUGCAUGGAGCCGACCUUGAAAUACCACCCUUUAAUGUUUGAUGUUCUAACGUUGACCCGUAAUCCGGGUUGCGGACAGUGUCUGGUGGGUAGUUUGACUGGGGCGGUCUCCUCCUAAAGAGUAACGGAGGAGCACGAAGGUUGGCUAAUCCUGGUCGGACAUCAGGAGGUUAGUGCAAUGGCAUAAGCCAGCUUGACUGCGAGCGUGACGGCGCGAGCAGGUGCGAAAGCAGGUCAUAGUGAUCCGGUGGUUCUGAAUGGAAGGGCCAUCGCUCAACGGAUAAAAGGUACUCCGGGGAUAACAGGCUGAUACCGCCCAAGAGUUCAUAUCGACGGCGGUGUUUGGCACCUCGAUGUCGGCUCAUCACAUCCUGGGGCUGAAGUAGGUCCCAAGGGUAUGGCUGUUCGCCAUUUAAAGUGGUACGCGAGCUGGGUUUAGAACGUCGUGAGACAGUUCGGUCCCUAUCUGCCGUGGGCGCUGGAGAACUGAGGGGGGCUGCUCCUAGUACGAGAGGACCGGAGUGGACGCAUCACUGGUGUUCGGGUUGUCAUGCCAAUGGCACUGCCCGGUAGCUAAAUGCGGAAGAGAUAAGUGCUGAAAGCAUCUAAGCACGAAACUUGCCCCGAGAUGAGUUCUCCCUGACUGUGGACGCAUCACUGGUGUUCGGGUUGUCAUGCCAAUGGCACUGCCCGGUAGCUAAAUGCGGAAGAGAUAAGUGCUGAAAGCAUCUAAGCACGAAACUUGCCCCGAGAUGAGUUCUCCCUGACCCUUUAAGGGUCCUGAAGGAACGUUGAAGACGACGACGUUGAUAGGCCGGGUGUGUAAGCGCAGCGAUGCGUUGAGCUAACCGGUACUAAUGAACCGUGAGGCUUAACCUUACAACGCCGAAGRUGUU
rnacentral:rRNA from 1 species